GAUGAACGCUGGCGGCGUGCUUAACACAUGCAAGUCGAACGGUGAGGCCCUGCUUUUGUCUGGUGCUCGAGUGGCGAACGGGUGAGUAACACGUGAGUAACCUGCCCUUGACUUUGGGAUAACUUCAGGAAACUGGGGCUAAUACCGGAUAGGAGCUCCUGCUGCAUGUUGGGCGUUGGAAAGUUUCGGCGGUUGGGGAUGGACUCGCGGCUUAUCAGCUUGUUGGUGGGGUAGUGGCUUACCAAGGCUUCGACGGGUAGCCGGCCUGAGAGGGUGACCGGCCACAUUGGGACUGAGAUACGGCCCAGACUCCUACGGGAGGCAGCAGUGGGGAAUAUUGCACAAUGGGCGGAAGCCUGAUGCAGCAACGCCGCGUGAGGGAUGACGGCCUUCGGGUUGUAAACCGCUUUCGCCAGUGACGAAGCGAGAGUGACGGUAAUGGGUAAAGAAGCACCGGCUAACUACGUG
rnacentral:rRNA from 1 species